GUGCUUGCCUCAGCAGCGCAAAUACUAAAAUUGGAAUGAUACAGAGAAGAUUCGCGUGUCCCCUGUGCAAGGAUGACAUGCAGAUUCGUGAAACGUUCUGUUUUUUC
rfam:Gorilla gorilla gorilla genomic chromosome, chr22, whole genome shotgun sequence